UGGGGAAUUUUGGACAAUGGGCGCAAGCCUGAUCCAGCCAUGCCGCGUGAGUGAAGAAGGCCUUCGGGUUGUAAAGCUCUUUCGGCCGGGAAGAAAUCGCAUGGGUUAAUACCCUGUGUGGAUGACGGUACCGGAAUAAGAAGCACCGGCUAACUACGUG
rnacentral:rRNA from 1 species